AUACGGAGGGGGUUAGCGUUGUUCGGAAUUACUGGGCGUAAAGCGUACGUAGGCGGACUGGAAAGUUGGGGGUGAAAUCCCGGGGCUCAACCCCGGAACUGCCUCCAAAACUUCCAAUCUAGAGAUCGAGAGAGGUGAGUGGAAUUCCAAGUGUAGAGGUGAAAUUCGUAGAUAUUUGGAGGAACACCAGUGGCGAAGGCGGCUCACUGGCUCGAUACUGACGCUGAGGUACGAAAGCGUGCGGAGCAAACAGGAUUAGAAACCCUAGUAGUCC
rnacentral:rRNA from 1 species